rnacentral:rRNA from 1 species
ACGCUCGACACCUACGGGAGCAGCAGUGGGGAAUAUUGGGCAAUGGGCGCAAGCCUGACCCAGCAACGCCGCGUGAAGGAAGAAGGCUUUCGGGUUGUAAACUUCUUUUCUCAGGGACGAAGGAAGUGACGGUACCUGAGGAACAAGCCACGGCUAACUACGUGCCAGCAGCCGNGGUAAUCUGAGCGGGCUGGCAAGGC